UUGCGCGAGCUGAAGCCCUUUGGGCGACGGGUGCUUUUAUUAGACCAAGAUCGAUCGGGUUUCGGCCCGUAUUGUGUGGUGACUCUGGAUAACUUUGUGCUGAUCGCAUGGCCACGAGCCGGCGACGUUUCUUUCAAGUGUCUGCCUUAUCAACUUUCGAUGGUAGGUUACUUGCUUACCAUGGUUGUUACGGGUAACGGAGAAUCAGGGUUCGAUUCCGGAGAGGGAGCCUGAGAAACGGCUACCACAUCCAAGGAAGGCAGCAGGCGCGCAAAUUACCCACUCCCGGCACGGGGAGGUAGUGACGAAAAAUAACAAUACGGGACUCUUUUGAGGCCCCGUAAUUGAAAUGAGUACACUCUAAAUCCUUUAACGAGGAUCAAUUGGAGGGCAAGUCUGGUGCCAGCAGCCGCGGUAAUUCCAGCUCCAAUAGCGUAUACUAAAGCUGCUGCGGUUAAAAAGCUCGUAGUUGGAUCUCAGUUCCAGACGAGUAGUGCAUCUACCCGAUGCGACGGCUCGGACUGAACAUCAUGCCGGUCCUUUCUUGGUGCACUUCAUUGUGUGCCUCGAGAAGGCCGGUGCUUUUACUUUGAAAAAAUUAGAGUGCUCAACGCAGGCGAGUCGCCUGAAUAAACUUGCAUGGAAUAAUAGAACAAGACCUCGUUUCUGUUCUGUUGGUUUUUGGAAUACGAGGUAAUGAUUAAGAGGACCCGGACGGGA
rnacentral:rRNA from 1 species